rnacentral:miRNA from 1 species
GCAGCAGGGACAGAUGUGUUUAC